rnacentral:lncRNA from 1 species
CAGAAUUCAAAGAGACCAGGCAACUUACUGGAGUUGGUGGUAUAAAAUGAUGCUACUGAAUGUAGCCAAUACCUUCCAGGAAGUGUUUUAGAAAUGCGAAUUUCUGGGCCCUUCCAGGUCCUACUUUAAUAGAAACCCUGGAGAUGGAGCCCAGUCAUCUGUUUUUUUAAAGAGCCUUCCUCUUGAUGCAUGGAAAGUUUGAGAUGUUCUGGAACAUGGCUUCUGGAACAGUGAUGUCUUGGCCAUUUGUGAGGUGUGUGGAAAGUAAUUUAUUAUUAAUCAUAGUUAACAUACUGACAUUUGUCAAUAAUUCAUAUGUGUGUCACCUGCAAAGAUUUUUUUAAAAAGAUACAGUUCCCAAGCUCCACCCAAUUCCAGGGGAGCCAAAGCCUCCAGGGGUGGUAGCCAGGAAUGUACACUGUUUUAAAGUUCCUCAGUGGCUCUUAGGAGGAGAAGCCAGGUGCAGGAACACUGGUCUAUAAGAACCAUUUGCCUCUUAACAAAGAAAAGAAAGCAUGGCAUUCUGGAGGAGGUCCCUCGGUGAGCAGGUCCUCCCUCCCUCCAGCAAAUCUUAGGUAGAUCCCUAUUUUUAAAACACACAGAAAAAAAAAACUCCUCUGGCUACAGCAGAAAAGGGUGCUCAGCACCUUCCCCUUCUGGAGUGGCUGUGGUGGCCCUUCACAAAUGCCUGCAGCUCCCCAAAUCAUGACUUGAAAACUACAGCUGGUUCUCCCACCGCACCCUCCCCCUGCCACAUAUGCCCUAUUUACUGAUGAAGAAACUGAGGUUCGAAAAAGUAAAAUGACCUGAUCAGACUAGAAAAGCACAUGAAUGACCAUCUAGAUUUGCCAGGGACUAAGGGGUUCCCAGGGCAAGUGACAUUCAGCAUUAAAACAGGGACAGUCCCAGACAAGAAGAAGAGUUGGUCUCCCUAGUGCAGAGCCUAUCCUCUCCCACAGUUCUUGCUCUUGGGAUAGGUCUGUAUGAUGCCAUAAUACUGCAAGAAGAAUCAGAUUACUAUUGUUUUCUUUCUAACAACAUUGUUUCUAUUCCCUCACUCCAGAAGGACUUAAAGGAAUAAUACCAUCGAUUUAUGUUUUCAAAAUACUCUUUGUACUCUUUCCUCAUGGUCAUGUCAGCUCCUAUUUUACAAGUUUUCAGAUCCAAUAUGCCAUAUAAAUCUCUCUGGCUUCUCUAAAUUUCCAUGAUAUUUGCCAUCAUACCUAUUGCAGCUUACCAAGAUCUGUGUUAUAAAUCUUUAGGUUGCCAGUAAAAGAUACAUAACUUCUAAAAUCUUAAGUAAACCAAAGGAAGAAGUAUAUUGGUUCAUGCAACAGAAAAAAAGCUUUGGUUGCAGCUGGAUCCAGGGGCUCAGUCUCAUUAGCACUUGCUCCUCAACACACUCAGGCUGCCUCUUCCCAUGUGAUAGCAAGAUGGCGGCAGCUCCACAGGCCUCCAGUGCUCUUAGCAACCCAGCUGCCUUCAUCUCGGCACCAAUAGCUUUUGCCGAAGUUCUUAGGAUCAACCUGUGACCUAAGAUAAAAUCAGUCUAGUCAAGAAAAAAAGAAAAUGGCAAGAAAUUGGGCCAAUUAGGACCUCAGUGCAGGCCAACACUGAUUCCUGCAGUCUUGAGAAUGUGCUCUGAGGUUUUGCAAGAUGGCAGCUGGGUUUAUAGCUUUAAGCCACAAGGGGGCUGGUAAUGACAUCAUUUGUUAGACAGGGAUUAUGAUUGCUGCUGGCAGAAGUGAUGUUGGUUUAUGAAAAAGAGACUGGGUACAGCCUCAGACUCUGGGUAGUAUGGGGCAUGGGGUCUGUUGUAUACAAGGUCAAUAGAGAUUAGUGUUAUUUCAAAGGUCAUCUUUCAUGCGUUUCUGGCCCAAUCCAAAGGUUCAGUAGCAGACACGUCUGAGAUUUGGUUUGACAGUAGUCUCUCAACUAUUUUAAGUGCCCCAAAUAACGCUAUUCCAUUUUAUUUUAUUUUUCUCCUCCACAAAACUUCUUUGGGCUGAUUUGUGACAUGUGCCCAUCCCUAAAUCGGUUACUGCCUCCAGGACAAUGAAUUACUCUGGCCAGGCUGUGGUCAUGUGCCUUCCCGUAAACAAUUACUACCACUGGACUACCCUGAUUGGCCAGGCUUUGGUCACAUGCCUUCUCUAAAACAAUUACUACCUUGCUCCAGGACAAUGAAAUACCCUGAUUGGUCAGGCUGUGGUCAUGUACUCACACCUACAACCAGGGACUGAAAAUAAAGAAAGAUGAAUCCCUAGGGGAAAAUCAGAACAGGGUUCCCAAAAGCAGGGUUGGAAGGGAUGCUGUGUAAGUGAAAACAUCAGAUGUCCAGGAAGUCUUAAAGGUGCUUAUAUGGAGCCACAAUCCACUGCAAGAGAACUGAUGGUUCUGUCCGAUGUGCAAGGCCCCAUUUCCUUCCCCGUGCCCACCAGCAGAGAUCUGAGUACUCUGCAUAACUCCAAGGCCAUCACUGUCUGUUCUGGUUUUUAAGACACAGAUGACAUUUGGAUAUAGCUUGCAGAAGCCCAGUACCAAGGGGAUUCCACCACAAUCAUGCCCUGCCUUUGAAUGUCCUCCCAGACGCAGAGCUCCUGCAAGUUGGGGGUGAGCGACUCGUGGCCCUGUGCUUUGUUUGGCCCUACGUUUUCCAGCUGGGUCUGUGACUUGUGAAUUGAUCUUUUCUUCAAUACAUCCCAUAGAAAAAGAAUGAAAAGCCCUGAAGCUCUCUCUUUUUCUUCCUUCCUUUCUUCCUGUAAUUCACAGGCAGGGCAACUGUGCUUUGUUCAAACAGCAUUCUGCAGUUGCUUGGCAAGUUCUGACAGAGCUGCUUGCUCUAUUCUUCAAGUUCUCUGUUAAGUCAGGGGUAAAGUUAUACCUUGUGGCUAAUUUUCAGACUGUAAACCUUACCCCUUGUUAAAGCUGAAAUCUUAGAUUAAAUCAGCACAAAAAUGCCAGCUCCCCUAAGACCCUUGAAUUAUGGCCCUAUAUUUUUCUUCCUGUCCUGACAUUCAUUUAAGACCUUUCCAACUUUUACAAGUUGCUUUCUCUUAUCCAUUAAGAAGCAGUGUUUUGAACCCUUUUAAAGCAGUUUUCUUUCCUUCUCGAUCACUGUGACCCUUUUCCAUCUACCGUGUGUGUGUGUGUGUGUGUGUGUUUGGGGGUCGGGGGUUGAUGUGUGGUGCUCCGGAUUAGACCUAGGAUUUUGCACAUGCUAGGCCAGUGCUCUACCACUGAGCUACACCCUCAGUUUGCACUCAUUUUAUCUUAUACAUAUUCACAUAGUGUAUUCCUAAAUCCUAAUUGGGUAACUAACUGGCCAUUUUAAAGGUGGGCUUCAGGAAUGUUUAUUUGACCAAUUAAUAGACCUUUCCAUCAUUUGGACUCUAACUAGUAAUGGAGACAAUGCAUUCCUUUCUGUAACAAAGACCCAUAGUUCUGGAGGCCAGAAGUCUGAUACCAUUGUGCCCGCAGAGCCUUCCUCCCUUGGAAACUGCUAGAAAAAGAUGCUGACAGCCAAGGAGUUCCAGGGCUAUUUAUUCUUUUCCUAUGGGAUGCAUUGAAGACAAGACCAAAUCACUUCAGUCUGCCUCCAUCUUCACAUAGCGAUCAUCUUCUCCCUGUGUCUCUGUCUUCACAUAUUUUUCUCUCCUCCUCUUAUAAGAACGGUGGUUAUACUGGAUUAGGGAUAAUCCCCAGGACUUCAUCUUAACUUGAUGGAAUCCACAGUGAACUUUUUCCCCAUUCACAGGAACUGAGGAUUAGGACUUCCACAUUCCUUUUUGGUGUGUCUGUGUGUCAGAGUCGGGGGUGGGUGGACACGGUUUAGCCCAUGGCAGCGAGGAAAGAGAGAAUAAGAGAUAACACAGGAGCAGGGUGUGACUCUCUGAUCUUGGAUAGCCAAAAGGAAGAUCCUCUCUCAUGUUUUCCCAGGAUGUUUACCCAGAAAGAUUUGGGACCCUGAUAGGAACAUCUCAAGAUAGAAGGAAGGGGCCUAGCGGAGGCCGGGGAUCCACUGGAGGUCAAAGUCAAGAAAGUAAACAUGCUCCAAGAUCCACUGUGCACUUAGAUCCUUAAAUAGUGCUGCCAAAUCCUUGCUACUAUUCUCAGCAGAUGGGGAAACUGAGGCUCCAAGUAACUAAUCAGAGUGAAACCAUGUAUCACUGUGAGGAAGAGCAAGACCACCAUUGUCACUUCUAUCUUUUAUAGUUAUUAGUGUGUGCCAUUUGCUUUUGGGAGCUCAGAAAAUGGUACCCCCCAGCGGAGGCCUCAGAAGUAUCCUCUGAAGUGAAUUUUCUUUUUCUCCUGCCCUAUUCUCUGACGCUUCCCCUUCUUCCCUAAAGCAAGCCACAGAAAUUAGAAUUCCUCUUCCCCAAGGUGGGUCAUAGAAACCAGGAUCCAUUUCCUCCAAAGCCAGUCAUAAAAGCUGAGAAUAUUGCUACAACUUUCCCCGACCUUUCUGUAAGACUUGCCGGAGAAAAUAAAGAAAGAUGAAUCCCUAGGGGGACACAGCUUAUUUAAUUAUAGGUCUUAAGAUCUGGUUCUAGAGAAGAUCCUGCCCCUUACCUAGGAGGUCAAGAAGAAUCUAAGCAAAUUUUUUUCCCCCUCAAUCCAUUACCACUAGGUCAUACCUUUUCUACCCAAUCUUAUCUCUACAUGGCCACCCAUGCUUUGUCGAACCUACACUAAAAAUGGAUAGUUUGCCCUGGGUCAUUAGGUCUUCAGUCUGAAGCUUCCUGUUACCCAUAAAAGGACGGUUAAGUAAAUGUCUCAUGCCUUUGCUCCUAUUAACCUGUCUAUUGCCAGGAUCAAAUAUCAAACCCUUCAGUGGGAAAGUUGGAACUUCUCCACAAUACUAAAGACAAAUCUAAAGAGGAAAGCUCUAGUUGUAAGCACUAUACCUAUGAAGAAGCAGAAACUCAGAAAAAUUAAGUCACUUGCCUGAAGUCACACAGAUAUUAACCAGAUGAGCCACAUUUCCAGCCCGGGUCUUUGUGACUCUGGAGGCGCUUCUUACCAUAUUGCCAAUUUGACUUCAAAUUUACAUGGGUUCAGAGUAAGAUGCUGUCAAAAGAACCCUGGUAACUGGACCUGGAGCUUAGCAAAGCAAGCAACAUGUAAAGAGAAUGCUCCUGGGGCAAGAGGCAAGAGCAGAGAGAAAGUGGGUAGCUAAGAGGCAAAGAAAGGUGGGCUCACUGUCAGUGCAAACGUCCACCCUGCACUCCAGGACUGCUUUCACCUGCUCCAUCUAUGCCCCAGUGGAACCUCUGUGGUGUAGACAACUCACUUCUCUAGAGGAGAGGUAAGAGGGAGAAAGCUGGACUUUCCAAACCCCAUGCUUCCCAAGAGAAGUGGGGGGCUAGGCUUGUCAAGCCUGAAAAGAGGAAAUGGGAUGGGCAGGGAGGGUCUUCAGACAUGGAGAACAUUGCUCUUGGAACCGCGGGGACCAUGCCUGUCCUCUUGGAUGCAGCUUCAGGCUCUGUUUGACAAAUAUUUUACUUACCAUGUGACCUGGCUCACAGUGGAACGAAUGGUCCGCUGAUGGGACCCCUGAGAGACUUGAGGACUCACCUAGCAUUCUCUAACGGCUGUACUGUUCACCACCUUGUCUCUGGGAGUGCAGGGCAGGAAGAGUCUCCUUUCUUCUCUCUUUGCUAGGUUCAUUUGUCCCUGGGACAAAAUCCAGCCACAAGAAAAAGUCAGGCAUGUACAUUUGAUGCAAGCUUUCCCUGACACAGAGCCUCAGGAAGGAAAGAGACAAACAGGAAAACUUGUGCAUGUUCAUGCUUCUGUGUGGGGAAGAGUGGAGAGGCACGGAGGAGCAUGAGUGGAAAGGGGGUGGGAUCUGAUGGCAGUGAACUUGGGAUCUCAGCCAUGUCUGUUGUUGAGAUUCUUCUCAGUGUCCCCAGGUCUUCAGAGAUAAGGAUGAUCUUCUCCUCCAGCUUCAAGGAGGCCACCUCUCACACGAGGGUCUUAGGUCCUGCUUCAGAGUUGGGGAAGGUAAGCGCAGCCUUCCUGCUUUCUUAAAGGCAGCGGGUGCCAUGUUUGGAAGUGGUGUGCCCUGAACCUGGUCGGGAGGAAGUCCCACCUCCUUGGCAAGGCUCCUCCUGGUGGGGGAGUGGGGGGUCCACUGCCUGCUCCAGCCUCACUCCCACCACCCCUCACCUUGAACUUCUCACUUCAGGCUGGAGACUCCUGGCCAUUCCCUGAAUAAGCACUGAGCACAGUUUGUCCCCUGACCCUGGCUGGCUCCCUUACUUCCCUUCCCUUCCCUCUUCCUAUCCUUCCUUUCUCGCCUCCCACCCUCACGUGCACAUGCUCUAAGCUCUUCCUGGAACACCUUCCUUCCCCCUUUGCGUCUCCUUCUAGCUCACUCCUUUUUUUUUUUCCCUGCAAAACUCCACUUCUCAAAAUCAAAUGGGCAUCCUGGGAGGUGGUGGGUAUGCUAAUUAGCUUGAGUGGUGAUUAUUCCGCCAAGUAUGCAUACAGUGGUCCAUCAAGUCGUGCAGAAUGUUUUGUCAGUUAUACCUCAGGAAAGUUGGGGCUGGAGGAAAGAUUCCACCUCUCCCAAGAAGCCCUUUGACCCCCUAACCCUGGGUGACAUUCCCUCCCCCAGGCCCCUCAGCCCCCUGAGUGUACAACUAGACUGUGUUUAUAGGUGCGUCCCAACUGCUUAUUGACAUGCCUCUGUGAGAUCAGAGACAGGAUCUUGCUCAGUGUCUUGGCGAAGUCCCUUCAGCACCCAAGCAUCUGGCACCAAGUAGGGAUUCCAUAAGCCAAUGAUCAUGUCGACUGGCUGAGGACCCUGAUGGGAGGACAGCCCCCCUGACCUCCAAGAUCCCACCCACCCCCUGCACCCAUGAGUCUAUAUUUCUGUUCCCACAGUUAGUUGGAGAGGAAAUUGCCAAAGCCAGAUGACGACGAGACUUUCGUUUGGGGUUGCCCAGGUCUGCAAUUUGUAAUCAGGGUGUUUGAAAGACAAACAAAACUGAGAGAAAAACAUAGUUUUGAUGAGGCAAGACUUGCGAAAUGAUUAGUUGUGUAACAGUGAUGGUGGCCUCUGGGACCACAUUUGGCCACGCCCAGAUUAUUAGACUUUGUAUGUAACUGGGUCAGCCUUGUGUAUGGGUUAAGAGGACAAUUGUCAAAAUAGUGAUUUGAGUGUGCAAAGCCCCUUCUCCCUCAAGCUAUUGCUUUAGAGCUCAGCCUGAUGCCAACAUCCUCAUCUUCAACAAUUUUUCUUAAGACUGGACAUAGGCAAAGCUCAGAUGUAAAUAAAGCCACCGCUCAUUGGUGGAUCCCCUUGGACCCUUUGACUGUGGAAGCUGAUUGUCCAUGAGUCUGCUUGUUAGGUCACAUUGUAUCGCCUGGACUAGCUCCCAAAGACUGGGAACUGGCGAUUCAUAAGACCAGUGUGUAAACUGUUCAUUGUCUUUUUGGAGCCAAGAGAUGCUCUGAGUUAAAUCAGGGAAUUUAUCCAAUAGUUACAAAUAAAGAAAUGGAGUUUCAAGAAGUGACUUACCCAAGUUGCAGCUCAUAAAGAUAAGAUAAAUGGCCUGCCAGAGAAUCUUUGUACCUGGUGGUCCUGGCCCCUGCUCUUCUGGUGGAAGCAGGGGGUCCCAGGAUGGGGCUAAGGAGUUGGGAAGUGGAGGGCCGAACACAGCAGGCUGGGUGAACCUUGCCAGGAGAGCCCUUGGGGGCACUGGGAUGCAGGAAGGUGGAGGUGCAGGGCUGGGCGUGGAAACGGAGCUGGUGGUAAGGGGCUGACACAGGGGAAGUCGUGGACUCUCCCCAAGGAGGCCAUGAGGCUGCCCCUGACUAAGGAGCCCUGGGCUGGCUGCUGGCUGCUGGCUGAGCCUGGGCUCCAGAGAAAGAAGGUUUUCACACCUUCUCCACAUGUGCACCCAAGAGCUGGGACCCUGCUGAGCAGAAACCCAGGGCUGCCACCUGUAGCAGCUACUGGCCCGUGAUCAAAGCAAGCCAGGGAGCCUUGAAAGUGUCUUAAACUCCUGUGUGCCCAGCCCUAACCUCCUCCCCCACCAGAGUCCAGGCCAGCUGCAAACAGAGGACCAUCUCUAUGGAGAUGAGUCAAAGAAAGAGCCAAGCCCUCUCUGUCUGCGAAUUCUAGUGUGUCCAUUAUAAUAAGGUUUAUUCUACCCGGUAAACAGAGGGGACUUUGAACUCACCUGGGGGCCUCUGAGCCUUCUUAGAACCACACAACAAAAGCAAACCCUCAGAUAUUUACUUCCUUAAUAAAAAGCAUUGCUCUUGUGGGUGGGUCUUUGUCAACACCGGUCUCCCUCAUUCUUUACUGUUUAAAGGCUAUCUUCAUGAUUAUAUGGAAUAGGAGGGCUGGGGAAGUCAGCUAAACAAGUACCUACGGCAGAAAACUCCCUUGUAGGAAACACAAAAGAUACCCUAGAUAGGCUCAGGUAGUAGUAAAUGCCAUAAAAAAGUUUAAAGUGGGUGACAUGGUGCAGGAGACAAUUUAGAUAAAGGAGAUCUCCAAGUCCCUCGAUGUGCAGGGUCAGAGCCUUCAGGCAAAGACAGCAGGUGCACAGGGUGUUUGAGGAAUAGCAAGGAGGGCCAGUGAAAUUGCAGGUCAUGGACCAGAGGAAGGGACCAAGAGAUGACCGGUAGUUGUUGAUGUCCCAUCUGUCCUGCUACCUGGCCUUUGAUCUCAGCUGAAAAUCCCUUUCACUCAUGCUGCUCCAUUUAUACCCUACUGAGAUUUACAACACAGUGUAUG